rnacentral:rRNA from 1 species
CAGGGAAUAUUGCGCAAUGGGCGAAAGCCUGACGCAGCGAUGCCGCGUGAGUGAGGAAGGCCUUCGGGUUGUAAAGCUCUGUCAAGGUGGAAAAAUGGAUAUGAUUCUAAUAGGGUUAUAUUUUGAUGGUACACCUAAAGGAAGCACCGGCUAACUUCGUGCCAGCAGCCGCGGUAAUACGAAGGGUGCGAGCGUUGUUCGGAAUUAUUGGGCGUAAAGAGCGUGUAGGCGGAUUAAUAAGUCAGGUGUGAAAUCUCGGGGCUCAACUCCGAAACUGCGCCUGAAACUGUAAAUCUAGAAUAUUGGAGGGGGAAGUGGAAUUUCGCGUGUAGGAGUAAAAUCCGUAGAUAUGCGAAGGAACACCUGAGGCGAAGGCGACUUCCUGGCCAGUUAUUGACGCUAAGGCGCGAAAGCGUGGGGAGCAAACAGG